CGGGUGAGUAACGCACUGGUAAUCUACCUUGAAGUCGAAGACAACCAUUAGAAAUGAUGGCUAAUACUCGAUGGACAUGAAAGGUCUACGGAUUUUUUCAUGUAAAGCUCCGGCGCUUCAAGAGGAGCCUAUGUCUGAUUAGCUAGUUGGUAGGGUAAUGGCCUACCAAGGCAUCGAUCAGUAGCGGGUGUGAGAGCAUGACCCGCCACACUGGGACUGAGAACUGCCCAGACUCCUACGGGAGGCUGCAGUCGAGAAUCUUCCACAAUGCGCGAAAGCGUGAUGGAGCGACACCGCGUGCCAGAUGAAGCCCUUAGGGGUGUAAAUGGCUUUUCUAGGAGACGAAUUCGUGACGGUACCUUAGGAAUAAGAGGUUGCUAACUCUGUGCCAGCAGCAGCGGUAAUACAGAGACCUCGAGCGUUAUCCGGAGUAAUUGGGCGUAAAGCGUCCGCAGUCGGUUUUGCGCGUCACUCGUUAAAUCUCGGUGCUCAACAUCGAGGCCGCGGGUGAUACGGCAAAACUAGAGGUUGGGAGAGGUAAGCGGAAUUGCUGGUGUAGCGGUCAAAUGCGUUAAUAUCAGCAAGAACACCAAAAGCGAAGGCAGCUUACUGGAACACACCUGACGAUCAGGGACGAAAGCGUGGGUAGCGAAUGGGAUUAGAUACCCCAGUAGUCCACGCCGUAAACGAUGAAUGCUAGGU
rnacentral:rRNA from 1 species